rnacentral:rRNA from 1 species
CGGGGUGAGUAACGCGUGGGUAACCUGCCUCACACAGGGGGAUAACAGUUAGAAAUGACUGCUAAUACCGCAUAAGCGCACAGGGUCGCAUGACCUGGUGUGAAAAACUCCGGUGGUAUGAGAUGGACCCGCGUCUGAUUAGCUAGUUGGUGAGGUAACGGCCCACCAAGGCGACGAUCAGUAGCCGACCUGAGAGGGUGAUCGGCCACAUUGGGACUGAGACACGGCCCAA